AGUGUACGCUGGCGGUAGGCCUAACACAUGCAAGUCGAACGGCAGCACAGUAAGAGCUUGCUCUUACGGGUGGCGAGUGGCGGACGGGUGAGGAAUACAUCGGAAUCUACUUUUUCGUGGGGGAUAACGUAGGGAAACUUACGCUAAUACCGCAUACGACCUACGGGUGAAAGCAGGGGAUCUUCGGACCUUGCGCGAUUGAAUGAGCCGAUGUCGGAUUAGCUAGUUGGCGGGGUAAAGGCCCACCAAGGCGACGAUCCGUAGCUGGUCUGAGAGGAUGAUCAGCCACACUGGAACUGAGACACGGUCCAGACUCCUACGGGAGGCAGCAGUGGGGAAUAUUGGACAAUGGGCGCAAGCCUGAUCCAGCCAUAUCGCGUGGGUGAAGAAGGCCUUCGGGUUGUAAAGCCCUUUUGUUGGGAAAGAAAAGCAGCAGGUUAAUACCCCGCUGUUCUGACGGUACCCAAAGAAUAAGCACCGGCUAACUUCGUG
rnacentral:rRNA from 1 species